CACAGGUGGAUGAGGAGAGAAUCCUAAGGCCGACGGAAGAAGCAUUGUUAAGGAACUCGGCAAAAUGACCCCGUAACUUCGGGAGAAGGGGUGCUCCAGAGAUGGAGCCGCAGAGAACUGGCCCAAGCAACUGUUUAGCAAAAACACAGGUCUAUGCAAAACCGAAAGGUGAGGUAUAUGGGCUGACGCCUGCCCGGUGCUGGAAGGUUAAGAGGAGAGGUUAGCGCAAGCGAAGCUUUGAAUUUAAGCCCCAGUAAACGGCGGCCGUAACUAUAACGGUCCUAAGGUAGCGAAAUUCCUUGUCGGGUAAGUUCCGACCCGCACGAAAGGCGUAAUGAUUUGGGCACUGUCUCAACGAUACACCCGGUGAAAUUGAAAUACCAGUGAAGAUGCUGGUUACCUGCGCCAGGACGGAAAGACCCCAUGGAGCUUUACUCUAGCUUGAUACUGGGGUUCGGUAUUGCAUGUACAGGAUAGGUGGGAGACUGAGAAGAUGUGUCGCCAGAUGCAUCAGAGUCGAUGUUGGGAUACCACCCCUGCAGUACUGGGCUUCUAACCUGCAGCCGUGACCCGGCUGGGGGACAAUGUCUGGUGGGGAGUUUGACUGGGGCGGUCGCCUCCGAAAGAGUAUCGGAGGCGCUCAAAGGUUCCCUCAGAAUGGUUGGAAACCAUUCGAAGAGCGCAAAGGCAGAAGGGAGCUUGACUGCGACACCGACGGGUGGAGCAGGUACGAAAGUAGGACUUAGUGAUCCGGUGGUAUAAAGUGGGAUUGCCAUCGCUCAACGGAUAAAAGCUACCCUGGGGAUAACAGGCUUAUCACUCCCAAGAGUUCACAUCGACGGAGUGGUUUGGCACCUCGAUGUCGGCUCAUCGCAUCCUGGGGCUGAAGUCGGUCCCAAGGGUUGGGCUGUUCGCCCAUUAAAGCGGUACGCGAGCUGGGUUCAGAACGUCGUGAGACAGUUCGGUCCCUAUCCGGCGUGGGCGUAGGAUAUCUGAGAGGAGCUGUCCUUAGUACGAGAGGACCGGGAUGGACUGACCUCUGGUGUACCGGUUGAACCGCCAGGUUCACGGCCGGGUAGCCAAGUCGGGAAGGGAUAAACGCUGAAGGCAUCUAAGCGUGAAGCCCCCCUCAAGAUGAGAUAUCCCAUAACAUAAGUUAGUAAGACCCCUUGAAGACGACGAGGUAGAUAGGCAGAAGGUGGAAGUGUGGUGACAUAUGGAGCUGAUCUGUACUAAUAGGUCGAGGGCUUAACCAA
rnacentral:rRNA from 1 species